rnacentral:tRNA from 1 species
UGGGGAUAUAGCUCAGUUGGGAGAGCGCUGCCCUUGCAAGGCAGAGGUCAGCGGUUCGAACCCGCUUAUCUCCACCAA